rnacentral:lncRNA from 1 species
UCAACUCAGAUAAAUAAACCAAACUUCUUCUUCAUUGAUUCUCUCAAACAAUUCAUACAUUCCAGAUCAGUAUAGGUAGUGCAUAUGUACAUGGAUUUUAAAUCACAGCAAGAAAGAACAGGAGUCAGCAGAAGCAGGUGAAUAGCAGCAGCAGUUUAAUACUUAAAGCAACCCAAGAAAUAGAAUGAGCAGCCCGGAAAUGUUUAAGUCAAACGGAAUCUAGCAGAUCCACUUUAACAUGGCAACAAACCAAUCAGAAAUGAACACCAAUGCAUAGACAACCAGCAAAACAACUAAACUAAAUCAAAUCUGAUUUUAAAACCCUUAUGAAACUUCAUUGGUGCAUGGCCUAGCCAAAUACCCACUUAAUUUGAUUCAAUUGCACUUGAAAUGAACCUCUAUUCUUCAACAAGCAGCAAUUGUAAUUACAGAAUGUGAUUUGAUGAAUAGAAACUGAAAUCAGUUUCUAAUUUCAAUGAAAUAGUAGCAUUUUUUUUUUGAUUUUUUGAGUUUUUGUUUUCUUUUUUUUUUUUUUUUGGUUUUCGGAGUUUGAAUUCCUAAUUCAGAUCUAGAAAAAUUUAAAGAGGGUGAGUUUGGAGU